ACAUGGCUCAGACGAACGCUGGCGGCGCGCUUAAGCAUGCAAGUCGAACGGCAAGAGGUAGCAAUACCUCCUAGAGUGGCGGACUGGUGAGUAACACGUGGGUGACAUACCCUUCAGAUGGGGAUAGCUAUUAGAAAUAGUAGAUAAUACCGAAUACGAGCACAGGGGUUAGAGAUCUGUGAGGAAAGGAGCUAAGGCUCCGCUGAAGGAAUGGCCUGCGGCCCAUUAGCUAGUUGGUGAGGUAAGAGCCCACCAAGGCGAUGAUGGGUAUCCGGCCUUAGAGGGUGAACGGACACAUUGGGACUGAGAUACGGCCCAGACUCCUACGGGAGGCAGCAGCUAAGAAUAUUCCGCAAUGGACGAAAGUCUGACGGAGCGACGCCGCGUGGAUGAAAAGAAGGCCGGAAGGUUGUAAAAUCCUUUUGCUGAUGAAGAAUAAGUGUGGUAGGGAAUGACCGCAUGAUGACAUUAGUCGGUGAAUAAGCCCCGGCUAACUACGUGCCAGCAGCGGC
rnacentral:rRNA from 1 species